UCAAAAAAUAGAAAUUGGAAAAAGCGUAAGUCGUUUGAUGAUGAUUCAUUAAUUGACGUGGAUCAUCACACAGCUAAGAAGCGCGUGUUUCGCCAUAUGCCUUGGUCAACUGAGUAACACAUGGCCAUUAAUAAAGUCAUAACAAAGGACGCGUGAGAUUGAAUUUGGAAACAUGAAUGGACGGUUCUGAUUAAAUCUGGAGACCAGACGGUGACCAGC
rnacentral:lncRNA from 1 species